ACUGACCAGAGACCUGCAAUCCUUUGGAUGAAGAAGGCUACAUUUGUGAACCAUUUCUUGUGUUAGUUAAACAGGAGACAUGAAGAGUUCUUGAUGCUUUUGGUUUGCCUCAUCCAUUAUGUCGGAAAAGAACAGGAGUGGGGAAUGCACUGUUGACUGCAUGGCCAACUGGAGCACCCACAAGGCUCUUGUGAAGGAAGUCAACAAGCUCUUGUGCUUCAGAUUACAUGCUGUCCAUGCAUCUCAAAUUGAGAAGGAUGGAUGGAAAGAACUCUUUGACCAACCCCCAACUGAGAGAGCUGAGGUGGCUAUCAUUUGGAGACCCCCUGCUGCUGGUGCUGCUGAAACAGGUGGAGGCAGCAGCGAAGCGGAACAGAAAGAGAAGGCAGGUGGCAAAGGCCACGUAAACCUCCACAGCUACGCAGAUGAGACCCAAUUGUA